CGGUAGGAGGCAGCAGGGCCGCGGGCCCGGGCCGGUGACUGCGGCGCCCCUACGAUGGACGCCCUAGAAGAAGAGAGCUUCGCGCUGUCCUUCUCCUCUGCCUCUGAUGCAGAAUUUGAUGCUGUGGUUGGAUGUUUAGAGGACAUUAUUAUGGAUGAUGAGUUCCAGUUAUUGCAGAGAAACUUCAUGGAGAAGUACUACCAGGAAUUUGAAGACACAGAAGAGAAUAAACUCACCUAUACACCCAUUUUUAAUGAAUAUAUCUCCCUGGUAGAGAAGUACAUUGAAGAACAGUUGCUGGAGCGUAUCCCAGGCUUCAACAUGGCGGCCUUCACAACCACACUGCAGCACCACAAAGAUGAGGUGGCUGGUGACAUCUUUGACAUGCUGCUCACAUUCACGGAUUUUCUGGCUUUCAAGGAGAUGUUCCUGGACUACAGAGCAGAAAAGGAAGGCCGAGGACUGGACUUAAGCAGUGGUUUGGUUGUGACUUCUCUGUGUAAGUCAUCUUCUACGCCAGCUUCCCAGAACAACCUGCGGCACUAGGUCCCACCUUCACACAACCGGUGUGAUUGACAUGAGUUCACCAGACCAGCAGGCUCCGAGAAACAUGGGCUAAUGAUGACAGGUGUAUCCUGCAAAGACCCACUGUGCCACAGCCCUUUGUUCAUGUGAAGUAUUGAUGAGUCCUGGAAAAUACGACUGACCUUGC